rnacentral:rRNA from 1 species
GUGAACGCUGGCGGUCGGCCUAACACAUGCAAGUCGAACGGCAGCACAGUAAGAGCUUGCUCUUACGGGUGGCGAGUGGCGGACGGGUGAGGAAUACAUCGGAAUCUACUUUUUCGUGGGGGAUAACGUAGGGAAACUUACGCUAAUACCGCAUACGACCUACGGGUGAAAGCAGGGGAUCUUCGGACCUUGCGCGAUUGAAUGAGCCGAUGUCGGAUUAGCUAGUUGGCGGGGUAAAGGCCCACCAAGGCGACGAUCCGUAGCUGGUCUGAGAGGAUGAUCAGCCACACUGGAACUGAGACACGGUCCAGACUCCUACGGGAGGCAGCAGUGGGGAAUAUUGGACAAUGGGCGCAAGCCUGAUCCAGCCAUACCGCGUGGGUGAAGAAGGCCUUCGGGUUGUAAAGCCCUUUUGUUGGGAAAGGAAAGCAGCAGGUUAAUACCCCGCUGUUCUGACGGUACCCAAAGAAUAAGCACCGGCUAACUUCGUG